GCGCACGCCGGCGCCUUCUUCUGGGAGCCCGGGCUGGCGGCGCGGGCGCGCGGCAAAUGGAGGGGGUGCUCGCGGAAGCGCUGCUCUCGGAGAACCGGGACCCUCGGGCCCUGCUUGGGGCGCUGUGCCGCGGGGAGGCGUCCGCGGAACGCGUGGAGACGCUGCGUUUCCUUCUGCAGCGGCUCGAGGACGAGGAGGCGCGCGGCGGCGGGGGUGGAGGCGCGCUCCCGGAGGCGGCGCGCGAGGUGGCCGCAGGGUACCUCGUGCCGCUGCUGCGGAGCCUGCGCGGGCGCCCGGCGGGCAGUCCUGACCCGGGUCUGCAGCAGCGCCACCGCCGGCGCGUGCUGAGGGCGGCGGGCGCGGCCCUGCGCUCGUGCGCCCGCCUGGCCCGGGGUCCGGAGCUGGCUACUGCGCUGGCUAAGGAGGCGCUGCGCGAUCUGCUCGCGGGGUGGCGCGCGCCUGGCGCCGAGGCUGCCGUGGAGGUGCUGGCGGCUGUCGGGCCCUGUUUACGGCCCCGCGACGACGGGCCACUGCUGGAGCGCGUGGCGGGGGCCGCCGUCGCCCUGGCGCUGGGUGGGGGCGGAGACGGGGAUGAGGCUGGGCCCGCGGAGGACACGGCGGCGCUGGUGGCCGGGCGACUGCUGCCGGUGCUGGUCCAGUGCGGCGGGGCGGCGCUGCGGGCCGUGUGGGGCGGGCUGGUCGCGCCGGGGACUCCCCCGGGGUCGGGCCGCGUAGAGGCGAAGCUGCUGGUCCUGAGCGCCCUGGCGGAGAAACUGCUGCCCGAGCCGGGCGGCGACCGCGCCCCUGGCACGCGCGAGCCGGGCCCGGACGCCCGGCGCUGCUGGCGCUUCUGGAGGACGGUGCAGGCGGGGCUUGGCCAUGCGGACGCCCUGACGCGCAAGCGAGCGCGCUACCUGCUGCAGAGGGCGGUGGAGGUGUCGGCGGAGCUGGGGGCCGACUGCACCUGCGGGCCCCAGGAAGGAAACGGCCCAAGUUUGUUUUGGUGGUCUGAGAAGAAAAAAGAUGAGCUUCUGAAGUUUUGGGAAAAUUAUAUUUUAAUUAUGGAGACUUUAGAAGGAAAUCAGAUACAUGUUAUAAAGCCAGUUUUACCAAAGCUGAACAAUCUGUUUGAAUAUGCAGUGUCAGAGGAAAACGGAUGUUGGCUCUUUCACCCAUCCUGGCAUAUGUGUAUUUAUAAAAGAAUGUUUGAAAGUGAAAACAAAAUCCUGACCAAAGAAGGUGUUAUCCACUUUUUGGAGCUAUAUGAAACAAAGAUUCUUCCAUUUUCACCAGAAUUUUCUGAGUUUAUUAUUGGACCACUAAUGGAUGCACUUUCGGAGAGCUCUCUGUAUAGCAGGUCCUCAGGCCAGCCAAUAGGAAGCUGUUCUCCAUUGGGAUUGAAAUUACAGAAGUUUUUAGUGGCUUAUAUUUCUCUUCUUCCAGAGGAAAUAAAGAGUAGCUUCUUAUUGAAGUUUAUUCGGAAGAUGACGAGUAGACAUUGGUGUGCUGUUCCCAUUUUGUUUCUAUCUAAGGCUUUGGCAAAUGUCCCAAGAUACAAGGCCCUGGGUAUAGAUGGGCUUCUUGCUCUCAGGGAUGUUAUUCAUUGCACUAUGAUCACACAUCAAAUUCUCCUGAGAGGGGCAGCCCAAUGCUACCUUCUUCAGACAGCUAUGAAUUUGCUGGAUGUGGAGAAAGUGUCACUUUCUGAUGUCUCAACUUUUCUCAUGUCUUUGAGACAAGAGGAAUCCUUAGGACGAGGAACUUCAUUGUGGACAGAGCUGUGUGACUGGCUACAUGUUAAUGAAAGCUAUUUUAAGCCACACCCACUGUGUAGCUCCAUUGGACUUCAGAAGACAUCUUUAAAUGCUUAUGUGAAGAACCUCGUUCAAGAGUAUGUCAAGUCAUCUGCUUGGGAAGUGGGAGAAAACUGCUCUAUGCCUGACUGGUUUGAAGCCAAGCUUGUUUCUCUGAUGGUCUUGCUGGCUGUGGAUGUGGAAGGAAUGAAGACUCAAUAUAGUGGAAAGCAGAGAACAGAGAAUGUAUUGCGGAUAUUCUUAGAUCCUCUUCUGGAUGUGCUUAUGAAGUUUGGAACUAAUGCCUACAUGCCCUUGCUGAAGACUGACAGAUGCCUCCAGUUGCUGUUGAAGCUGUUGCAUACAUGCAAGUUGAAAGGUCCCUGUGCCCAAGAUGAUGAGGUGUUUACUGUUCUUCAGAACUUUGUCAUGUCUACUACAGAGAGCAUUUCUGAAUUUAUUCUCAGAAGACUUACCAUGAAUGAGCUGAAUAGUGUUUCAGAUCUGGAUCGUUGCCAUUUAUACCUGAGGGUGUUAAACGAGCUUAUAAAUCUGCAUUUGAAGGUUGGGUGGAAAAGGGGUAACCCUAUUUGGAGAGUUAUUUCUCUUUUGAAAAAUGCAUCAAUUCAGCAUCUUCAAGAGAUGGGCAGUGGACAGGAGCCAACACUUGGAAGUCAGAUUCAGAGAGUAGUGAGCAUGGCUGCCUUGGCCAUGGUGUGUGAGGCCAUAGACCAGAAGCCUGAGCUGCAGCUGGACUCUCUCCAUGCUGGGCCCAUGGAAAGCUUCCUUUCCUCUCUUCACCUCAAUCAGAUGCUGCAGAAGCCCCAUGCAGAGGAGCAGAGAAGUUAUACCCACCCCUCAGAGUGCAGCAGUGUUUUGGAAGAAUCAUCAUCUUCCCAAGGAUGGGGAAAAAUAGUUGCACAAUAUAUUCAUGAUCAGUGGGUGUGCCUCUCUUUCCUGUUGAAAAAAUAUCACACCCUUAUACCAACCACAGGGAGUGAAAUUCUGGAACCGUUUUUACCUGCUGUUCAGAUGCCAGUAAGGACUUUGCAGUCUGCACUGGAAGCCCUCACAGUUCUCUCUUCUGAUCAAGUUUUACCCGUGUUCCAUUGCAUGAAAGUGUUGGUUCCCAAGCUUCUGACCUCCUCUGAAUCACUCUGCAUAGAGUCUUUUGACAUGGCUUGGAAAAUUAUAUCUUCUUUAAGCAACACUCAGCUGAUAUUCUGGCCUAAUUUGAAAGCUUUCGUUCAGUUUGUUUUUGAUAACAAAGUUCUUAGCAUUGCUGCCAAAAUCAAGGGCCAGGCAUAUUUCAAAAUAAAAGAGAUUAUGUACAAGAUAAUUGAAAUGUCUGCUAUAAAGACUGGAGUCUUCAAUACACUGAUAAGUUACUGCUGUCAGUCUUGGAUAGUGUCUACUUCAAAUGUGUCCCAAGGAUCUUUAUCAAGUGCUAAAAAUUAUAGUGAACUUAUCCUUGAGGCUUGUACAUUUGGAACAGUGUUUAGGCGUGAUCAAAGACUUAUUCAGGAUGUACAGACCUUCAUAGAAAACCUUGGACAUGACUGUGCAGCAAAUACCAUUAUGGAAAAUACUAAGAGAGAAGACCAUUAUGUGAGAAUUUGUGCUAUCAAAUUCCUGUGUUUAUUAGAUGGCUCCAAUAUGUCCCAUAAGUUGUUUAUGGAGGAUCUUGCAAUCAAGCUGUUAGAUAAAAGAAUGAGAUUAUGGAAGAAGAAAGGUCAGAGAACUUAUGAAGUAGAUGAGGAUCGCCUACAUUAUGUGAAAAUGGUUUUGGAGGUGGAUGAAUUAGUGUCCAAGUCCAAAAGACGCUACUAUGUGAAUUCUCUACAGCACAGAGUGAAAAACCGCAUAUGGCAGACUCUGCUUGUACUUUUCCCUAGACUUGAUCAGAAUUUCUUGAAUGGAAUUAUUGACAGAAUAUUCCAGGCUGGUUUCAUCAAUAAUCAAGCUUCCAUAAAAUAUUUUAUAGAAUGGAUUAUUAUAUUGAUUCUUCAUAAAUUCCCUCAAUUUCUUCCAAAGUUCUGGGAUUGUUUUUCUUAUGGUGAAGAAAAUCUUAAAACAAGCAUUUGCACAUUUUUAGCGGUUUUGUCACAUUUGGACAUUAUUACUCAAAAUAUUCCAGAAAAGAAACUCAUUCUGAAGCAAGCCCUUAUUGUUGUGCUGCAGUGGUGCUUCAGUCACAAUUUCAGUGUUCGACUGUAUGCUUUAAUUGCUCUUAAGAAACUCUGGACCAUGUGUAAAGAGUUACGUGUUGAAGAAUUUGAUGCCCUGACCCCUGUGAUUGAAUCCAGCCUCCAUCAAGUGGAAAGCAUGCAUGGAGCAGGGAAUGCCAAGAAGAAUUGGCAGCGCAUCCAGGAGCAUUUCUUUUUUGCAGCAUUUCACCCACUCAAGGAUUAUUGUCUAGAGGCAGUGUCUGGCUUGUAAACAAUGGAAGGGAAUAUUUAACUCUAAACAGAAAUCUGUUCUGACAUUAAAAGGAAAUGAGUGAGAACAUUUGUGCAGACCAUAUUUUACAUCCUUCCACGCCUUUCAGGCCUCAUUGAAGACGAAUGGAUCACCAUUGAUAAAUUUACCAGAUUCUCUGAUGUUCCUUUAGAUGCGGGAUUUCAGUGGUACCUUUCUCAAACUCAACUUAGUAAACUAAAACCAGGUGACUGGUCUCAGCAGGACAUAGGUACGAAUUUGGUCGAAGCAGAUAACCAAGCAGAGUGGACCGACGUUCAGAAGAAGAUUAUCCCAUGGAACAAUCGUGUUCCUGAGUUAGACCUGGAGCUCCUGUUUCAGGAUCGUGCUGCCAGACUUGGAAAGUCAAUUAGUAGACUAAUCGUUGUCGCCUCGCUCAUUGACAAACCAACCAAUUUAGGAGGACUGUGCAGGACCUGUGAGGUGUUUGGGGCUUCCGUGCUUGUUGUUGGCAGUCUUCAGUGUAUCAGUGACAAACAGUUCCAGUACCUCAGUGUCUCUGCAGAACAGUGGCUUCCUUUAGUGGAGGUAAAACCACCUCAGCUAAUUGAUUAUCUGCAGCAGAAGAAAACAGAAGGUUAUACCAUCAUUGGGGUGGAACAAACUGCCAAAAGUUUAGACCUAACCCAGUAUUGCUUUCCCGAGAAAUCUCUACUCUUGUUGGGAAAUGAACGUGAGGGAAUUCCAGCAAAUCUGAUCCAGCAGUUGGACAUUUGUGUGGAAAUUCCUCAGCAGGGCAUUAUCCGCUCACUGAAUGUCCACGUGAGUGGAGCCCUGCUGAUUUGGGAGUACACCAGGCAGCAGCUGCUCUCACACGGAGACACCAAGCCAUGAUGUGCCUAUCUCAGUAAACCACUGGUGCUGUUGAAAGUUUUUAACAAAAAACUAUUUGGACUAAAGAAAUAGAUUCUGAAAUUUACUGUUAUAAUUUGUAUUUCUUUUUUCUUGCAAUUUAAUGCCAAAAAUUUGUCAUGUGCCUUAAAUAUAUUACUAUAUAUUUUCUCCUUUAAUAAACACUUUUUGUAUUGUUUCUUUAAUAAAAUAAGCAAUUGUGGAAA